UACAGAGGGUGCGAGCGUUGUCCGGAAUCACUGGGCGUAAAGAGCGUGUAGGCGGCCAAGCAGGUCCGUUGUGAAAACUGGAGGCUUAACCUCCAGACGUCGACGGAAACCGCGCGGCUAGAGUCCGGAAGAGGAGAGUGGAAUUCCUGGUGUAGCGGUGAAAUGCGCAGAUAUCAGGAAGAACACCAAUGGCGAAGGCAGCUCUCUGGGACGGUACUGACGCUGAGACGCGAAAGCGUGGGGAGCGAACAGG
rnacentral:rRNA from 1 species